GGAAGAUAGCAACAAUAAUUAAAUUGUAUCAAUUUAUUUCUAGACAUUUAUGGAUUCUACUUGGAUUCCGAUUUUACAUGGAAGUAACAGAGAAUUCCAAGAAAUGGAAGCUGCUGCUAG